rfam:Rhodobacteraceae bacterium SB2 pfor_24, whole genome shotgun sequence.
CCCUGACAGUUGCAUGGUGCGACUGACAUUUGCCAAGACAGGAGAUCUAAAUG